rnacentral:lncRNA from 1 species
GACUAGAAUGGAAGUGGACGGAGAGGGGUGAGGAAGGAUGUGAAAAUGGAUGGGAAGUUGGGAGAUCGAGACGGAGUUUGUGAUGGUGAAAGGGGAAGGUGGAGAUGGGUGUGUACGAGGGAGGGGUGGUGAAGAUGGUUGUGGCUAGCCCGGCUAGGAGAAAAGGAAUGGGGCGAUGGCCUUCAGCCCAGAGGAGAAUCCAGGGCUACAGCUUUCCUAAUGAACAAGUAAUGACAAUUCAAGAACACCUUGUAUCAGUGGAGUCAAGGAGCAUACAUAUACAUUUCUCUCACAAAUUUAAUAUUUAUAAUAAUUUUUAUAUAUUAUAAAUGAGUAAUAGAAAUAAUAUAUAUAGAUAUUAUCUUAGAGAAUCAUGAGAACACAUCUUCAGGGGGAGUAUCAGAAACUCAGAAGGAGAUCGAGACGGAGUUUGUGAUGGUGAAAGGGGAAGGUGGAGAUGGGUGUGUACGAGGGAGGGGUGGUGAAGAUGGUUGUGGCUAGCCCGGCUAGGAGAAAAGGAAUGGGGCGAUGGCCUUCAGCCCAGAGGAGAAUCCAGGGCUACAGCUUUCCUAAUGAACAAGUAAUGACAAUUCAAGAACACCUUGUAUCAGUGGAGUCAAGGAGCAUACAUAUACAUUUCUCUCACAAAUUUAAUAUUUAUAAUAAUUUUUAUAUAUU